GUUUCGCUCAAGGUGGAGCAGGGGCAGGUUGUGACGCUGCUCGGCUCCAACGGGGCGGGCAAGUCCACCACGCUGCGUGCGAUAUCAGGCCUCGCCAAGCCGGCGGCCGGAGAAAUCCUGUUCGACGGCAAGUCGAUUGUGGGCCUCGGACCGGAAGCCAUCGUGCGUCUCGGUAUUUCGCACGUUCCGGAGGGGCGGCGGGUGUUUCCCGGCCUCACCGUGAAAGAAAACAUCAUGCUUGGCGCGUCGAACC
rnacentral:misc_RNA from 1 species